rnacentral:misc_RNA from 1 species
GAAAUGCGAUAAGUAGUGUGAAUUGCAGAAUUCAGUGAAUCAUCGAAUCUUUGAACGCACAUUGCGCCCUUUGGUAUUCCUUAGGGCAUGCCUGUUCGAGCGUCAUCUUAACCUUCAAGCCCUGCUUGGUGUUGGGUGCCUGUCCCGCCUCCGCGCGCGGACUCACCUCAAAUCCAUUGGCGGCCCCCGCGUCGGCCACGAGCGCAGCAGAAACGCGAACUCGUGAGCCCGUCCGGGCGGCUCCCAGAAGCUACACCCACCCAGUUUGACCUCGGAUCAGGUAGGGAUACCCGCUGAACUUAAGC